UAGAGUGCGCAGCUAUAAUGCAGUCGAGCGGAUUGAUGGAAGCUUGCUCCCUGCUUAUCACCGGCGGACGGGUGAGUAUCACGUGUGUAACCUGCCUGUGAAACUGUGGUAUCUCCCGGGAACCGGGGCUAUUACCGGAUAACUCUCUUCCCCUCAUGAGGAACUGUGGAAAGGGGGGUUUUUCCUCCCCCUUAUACAUGGGGCCCCGGCGCACUAUCUAUUUGGGGAGGUGACGGCUCUCCCCGGGGACGAUGCGUAUCCCACAUGUGAGGGGGAUCGGCCACACUGGGACUGAGACACGGCCCCCACUCCUACAGGAGGCGCCACUAUGGAAUCUUCUCCACUGUGCAAAAGUCUGACAGAGAACCGCCCCGCGAGUGAAAAAAGGGUUCUGAUAUCAAAACUCUGUUGUGAUGGAAAAAAACGUGCCGCUCUAAUAGGGGGGCGCCUUGUCGGUGCCUAACCCCAAAGCCACGGCUAACUACAUGUGACCACCCGCGGUAAUACAUAUGUGGCGAGCGUUGUCCGGAUUUAUUGUGCGUAUAGCGCGCGCGCGUGUGUUCUCAUGUCUGAUAUGAAAGCCCACAGGUCUACAGCGUAGGGUCUUUGUGGACUGUGGAACUUGUGUGCGCAAGAGAAGAGUGUAGUUCUCAGUGUGUCGCUGAGAUGCGUAUAUAUUUGUAGAAACACCACUGUCGAAAGCGACUUUCUGGGCUGUAUCUGACACUGAGGCGCGCAAGCGUGUGGAGAACACACGAUAAUAUACACUGUGAUUCUACGCCCUAUACGAUGAGAGCGCUAUGUGAUAGAGUUUCCCCCCUUUAUUGCUGCACCUAUCGCAUAAAACACUCCGCCUGGGGAGUACGGUCGCAAGACUGAAACUCAAAGGAAUUGACGGGGGCCCGCACAAGCGGUGGAGCAUGUGGUUUAAUUCGAAGCAACGCGAAGAACCUUACCAGGUCUUGACAUCCUCUGACAACCCUAGAGAUAGGGCUUUCCCCUUCGGGGGACAGAGUGACAGGUGGUGCAUGGUUGUCGUCAGCUCGUGUCGUGAGAUGUUGGGUUAAGUCCCGCAACGAGCGCAACCCUUGAUCUUAGUUGCCAGCAUUCAGUUGGGCACUCUAAGAUGACUGCCGGUGACAAACCGGAGGAAGGUGGGGAUGACGUCAAAUCAUCAUGCCCCUUAUGACCUGGGCUACACACGUGCUACAAUGGACGGUACAAAGGGCAGCGAGACCGCGAGGUUUAGCCAAUCCCAUAAAACCGUUCUCAGUUCGGAUUGCAGGCUGCAACUCGCCUGCAUGAAGCUGGAAUCGCUAGUAAUCGCGGAUCAGCAUGCCGCGGUGAAUACGUUCCCGGGCCUUGUACACACCGCCCGUCACACCACGAGAGUUUGUAACACCCGAAGUCGGUGAGGUAACCUUUGGAGCCAGCCGCCUAANGGNG
rnacentral:rRNA from 1 species